rnacentral:rRNA from 1 species
UGAGUAACACGCUAUCCAACCUGCCGAUAACUCGGGGAUANCCUUUCGAAAGAAAGAUUAAUACCCGAUGGUAUAAUCANACCGCAUGGUCUUGUUAUUAAAGAAUUUCGGUUAUCGAUGGGGAUGCGUUCCAUUAGGCAGUUGGUGAGGUAACGGCUCACCAAACCUUCGAUGGAUAGGGGUUCUGAGAGGAAGGUCCCCCACAUUGGAACUGAGACACGGUCCAAACUCNUACGGGAGGCAGCAGUGAGGAAUAUUGGUCAAUGGGCGCAGGCCUGAACCAGCCAAGUAGCGUGAAGGAUGACUGCCCUAUGGGUUGUAAACUUCUUUUAUAUGGGAAUAAAGUUUUCCACGUGUGGAANUUUUGUAUGUACCAUAUGAAUAAGGAUCGGCUAACUCCGUGCCAGCAGCCGCGGUAAUACGGAGGAUCCGAGCGUUAUCCGGAUUUAUUGGGUUUAAAGGGAGCGUAGGUGGACAGUUAAGUCAGUUGUGAAAGUUUGCGGCUCAACCGUAAAAUUGCAGUUGAUACUGGCUGUCUUGAGUACAGUAGAGGUGGGCGGAAUUCGUGGUGUAGCGGUGAAAUGCUUAGAUAUCACGAAGAACUCCGAUUGCGAAGGCAGCUCACUGGACUGCAACUGACACUGAUGCUCGAAAGUGUGGGUAUCAAACAGGAUUAGAUACCCUGGUAGUCCACACAGUAAACGAUGAAUACUCGCUGUUUGCGAUAUACAGUAAGCGGCCAAGCGAAAAGCAUUAAGUAUUCCACCUGGGGAGUACGCCGGCAACGGUGAAACUCAAAGGAAUUGACGGGGGCCCGCACAAGCGGAGGAACAUGUGGGUUUNAAUUCGAUGAUACGCGAGGAACCNUUACCCGGGCUUAAAUUGCAUUUGAAUAUAUUGGAAACAGUAUAGCCGUAAAGGCAAAUGUGAAAGGUGCUGCAUGGUUUGUCCUCACCUCGUGCCGUGAGGUGUCGGCUUAAGUGCCAUAACGAGCGCAACCCUUAUCUUUAGUUACUAACAGGUCAUGCUGAGGACUCUAGAGAGACUGCCGUCGUAAGAUGUGAGGAAGGUGGGGAUGACGUCAAAUCAGCACGGCCCUUACGUCCGGGGCUACACACGUGUUACAAUGGGGGGUACAGAAGGCAGCUACCUGGUGACAGGAUGCUAAUCCCAAAAGCCUCUCUCAGUUCGGAUCGAAGUCUGCAACCCGACUUCGUGAAGCUGGAUUCGCUAGUAAUCGCGCAUCAGCCAUGGCGCGGUGAAUACGUUCCCGGGCCUUGUACACACCGCCCGUCAAGCCAUGAAAGCCGGGGGUACCUGAAGUACGAACCGCAGGAGCUCCUAGG